UCCUUAGUCACGGGGAUGGUUCUUCAA
rnacentral:piRNA from 1 species